rnacentral:rRNA from 1 species
UACGAAGGGUGCAAGCGUUAAUCGGAAUUACUGGGCAUAAAGGGUGCGUAGGCGGUUCGUUAAGUCUGUCGUGAAAUCCCCGGGCUCAACCUGGGAAUGGCGAUGGAUACUGGGCAGCUAGAGUGUGUCAGAGGAUGGUGGAAUUCCCGGUGUAGCGGUGAAAUGCGUAGAGAUCGGGAGGAACAUCAGUGGCGAAGGCGGCCAUCUGGGACAACACUGACGCUGAAGCACGAAAGCGUGGGGAGCAAACAGG